CCUUAGCAUCCAUCAUCUGUUCGGAAUGCAGCCAGUGAACAUGACCAAUCCAGGGGCUCUCUCAGGCCACGGGUAAAAAAUAAAACAUGUCCCCACUCGACCCCGACAAAGGACAUGACCAGGACAGAGGAGGUCGCCCAGACUAAAGAAGUGACCUUAACCCAGGAAAUGGCAGACCCUGG
rnacentral:other from 1 species